UGGGGAAUAUUGCACAAUGGGGGAAACCCUGAUGCAGCGACGCCGCGUGAGCGAAGAAGGUUUUCGAAUCGUAAAGCUCUGUCCUAUGGGAAGAUAAUGAGGGUACCAUAGGAGGAAGCCCCGGCUAACUACGUGCCAGCAGCCGCGGUAAUACGUAGGGGGCAAGCGUUGUCCGGAAUCACUGGGCGUAAAGGGUUCGCAGGCGGAAAUGCAAGUCAGUUGUGAAAGGCAGAGGCUCAACCUCUGUAAGCAAUUGAAACUGUAUUUCUUGAGAUGUGGAGAGGCAAGUGGAAUUCCUAGUGUAGCGGUGAAAUGCGUAGAUAUUAGGAAGAAUACCGGUGGCGAAGGCGACUUGCUGGACACAAACUGACGCUGAGGAACGAAAGCGUGGGUAGCAAACAGG
rnacentral:rRNA from 1 species